UACAGAGGAGCCAAGCGUUGUCCGGAUUGACUGGGCGUAAAGCGCACGCAGGCGGUCGCGCGCGUGGGGUGUGAAAUCUGGCCGCUUAACGGCCAGGCGCCAUCCCAUACGGCGCGACUGGAGUGAUGCAGAGGUCGGUGGAAUUGCCGGUGUAGUGGUGAAAUGCGUAGAGAUCGGGAGGAACACCUGUGGCGAAGGCGGCCCCCUGGGCCGCUCCUGACGCUGAGACGCGAAAGCGCGGGGAGCGAACGGG
rnacentral:rRNA from 1 species